rnacentral:lncRNA from 1 species
UUCUUUUUUCUUCUUUUUCCUUGCUUUUUUUUUGUGUUUUUCAUUUCCAUUUCUUUUCUUGCACUUCAAAUCUUUGUUUUUUUUUUCCUUUUUUCUUUUUUUUCCUUGUUUUUCAUUUUUUUCUUUUCUUUACUCUUUUCAAGCUACACAAGUGUUUGCAGAUGCAAUGAAAGUUUCGUUUCUUGUCUUUCUAUCUUUUUUUUUUUAACAAAAGAACAAAUUUCUUACAAUAAUACAAAUCAAGUUUUUUUUUUGGAUAAACAAAUAAAGAAUGCUAGAUGCAUUCCUUACCCUUUUGUUUAUCACUAUUUAAUUUUUUUAAUGUAAAGGUGAAAAAAGAAAAGGUAAAAUUUGUCCUAUAACUUGUGUUCUUGCUCUUAAAUUUGCCUCUAGUAUCAAACUAACAAAUAAAUAGAGUGAAAAAAAUAUCAAAGAAAAAAUAAAAUGAUCAACUAGUGCGUAUUACGUUGAAAUCCUAAACAUCCAAGCAAGGCAUUAAUUUGAAAGCACCAAGACUAAAAUAACAUUUACUGCUCAUUGCUUCCAAGAGUUCAUGGUUGUCUAUACAAAUCAACAAAAUACAAAAUCUAUGCCCCUAAAAUAGAUUCGAGUGACAACCAAAUCUUAUAAGCAACCCUCAAAAAUAACUUAGGACCAAAAGUCAAGCCCCCUGUUUUGCACAAAAGCAUUAGUAGCAAAGUCUAGCAAAAGCCAAGUCGUACAAAAGCAUUAGUACCAAAAGUCUAGCAAAAGUCAAGUCCCCUGUUUUGUACA